AAGAACACGCUACGGUCUCGGCUGCGACCGCGGUGGAAUACAAAUUCUGACAACGGACAGAACUGGAAACCGGGGUUGGUGGUGGAGAUACUUGCAAGAAAAAUCAUACCCGGGAGAAAUGCAUUCCAUUGAUAGCUUGUAUUUUUGCUUGAAAGAAAAAAAAAAUUUUGAGAAAAAGAGCCACCAUCAGGAAUAAUUCUGCUACAAGGCUGAUUUCAAGGACGUGAAUUGUUGACCUCACCCCAACAUUGGAACCUCAGAUGUUAUUCUAAUUUUUGCACCAUCCCAGGCAAGUUGACCCUGCAAGGAAAUAACAUUGAACCAUAGGGGUCUGAUGGAAAUUCACUGUGACGUUCAAAUCCAAGAAAACUUGCUGAUGCCCACAGAGCCUUUCCCCCAUGGGCCCUGAUGGUAGCCUCCAGAAGGUGCAGCCUCAGGUGCUCUCCCUUCUUCUGUGGCAAGAAUAAACUCCGGGUCUUGGCUUGCAACACCACCUGUGGAGAAAAUGGUAUGCGAGGGAAAACGAUCAGCCUCUUGCCCCUGUUUCUUCCUCUUGACUGCCAAGUUCUACUGGAUCCUCACGAUGAUGCAAAGAACUCACAGCCAAGAGUACGCCCACUCCAUCAGGAUGGAUGGGGACAUUAUUUUGGGGGGUCUGUUCCCAGUCCAUGCGAAGGGAGAGAGAGGGGUGCCUUGUGGGGAGCUGAAGAAGGAGAAGGGGAUCCAUAGACUGGAGGCCAUGCUUUAUGCAAUCGACCAGAUUAACAAGGACCCUGAUCUCCUUUCCAACAUCACUCUGGGUGUCCGGAUCCUCGACACGUGCUCCAGGGACACGUAUGCUUUGGAGCAGUCGCUCACGUUCGUGCAGGCAUUAAUAGAGAAGGAUGCUUCCGACGUGAAGUGUGCUAAUGGGGAUCCGCCCAUUUUCACCAAGCCUGACAAGAUUUCUGGUGUCAUAGGUGCUGCUGCAAGCUCCGUGUCCAUCAUGGUUGCUAACAUUUUAAGACUUUUUAAGGUAGGUAAAGCGUUUCUGACCAUUGUGGAAGGACAAUGA